UGAACGCUGGCGGCAGGCCUAACACAUGCAAGUCGAGCGAGAAAGCACUUCGGUGUGAGUAGAGCGGCGGACGGGUGAGUAAUGCGUAGGAAUUUGCCCAGUAGUGGGGGACAACAUGUGGAAACGCAUGCUAAUACCGCAUACGCCCUAUGGGGGAAAGCAGGGGAUCUUCGGACCUUGCGCUAUUGGAUGAGCCUGCGUCGGAUUAGCUAGUUGGUGGGGUAAAGGCCUACCAAGGCGACGAUCCGUAGCUGGUCUGAGAGGAUGAUCAGCCACACUGGAACUGAGACACGGUCCAGACUCCUACGGGAGGCAGCAGUGGGGAAUAUUGGACAAUGGGCGAAAGCCUGAUCCAGCCAUGCCGCGUGUGUGAAGAAGGCCUUAGGGUUGUAAAGCACUUUCAGUAGGGAGGAAAAGCUGUCGGUUAAUAACCGCCAGCCCUGACGUUACCUACAGAAGAAGCACCGGCAAA
rnacentral:rRNA from 1 species